rnacentral:rRNA from 1 species
CCGGUUGAUCCUGCCGGAGGCGACCGCUGUGGGAGUCCGAUUAAGCCAUGCGAGUCGAGAGAAUAAGAUUCUCGGCAUACCGCUCAGUAACACGUGGAUAACCUGCCCUGUGCUGGGGGAUAACCUCGCGAAAGUGAGAACAAUACCCCAUGGGUCACUACGCCUGGAACGGUGGGUGGCUGAAAGCUCCGGCGGCACAGGAUGGGUCUGCGGCGUAUCAGGUUGUAGGGGGUGUAACGGACCUCCUAGCCUUCAACGCGUACGGGUUGUGAGAGCAAUUGCCCGGAGAUGGAUUCUGAGACACGAAUCCAGGCCCUACGGGGCGCAGCAGGCGCGAAAACUUGACAAUGCGAGAAAUCGUGAUCAGGGGACUCCAGUUGGCUGGAUCAAAAGUCCAGUCUGAACCGACUUUAAAUCGGUCGGGUAAUAGGGGCGGGAAAGACCGGUGCCAGCCGCCGCGGUAAUACCGGCGCCCCAAGUGGUCGUCACUAUUAUUGGGCCUAAAACGUCCGUAGCCGGUUUGGUAAAUCCGUGGGUAAAUCAGACAGCCCAACUGUCUGAAUUCUGCGGGGACUGCCAGACUUGAGACCGGGAGAGGUACGGGGUACCUGCGGGGUAGCGGUAAAAUGCGAUCAUCCCGUAGGGACCACCUGUUGCGAAGGCGCCGUACUAGAACGGAUCUGACGGUCAGGGACGAAGCCUAGGGGCACGAACCGGAUUAGAUACCCGGGUAGUCCUAGGUGUAAACGCUGUGGACUUGGUGUCGGG